rnacentral:tRNA from 1 species
GGCUCCUUAGCGUAAUGGAUAACGCGUCUGACUUCGAAUCAGGAGAUUGUGGGUUCGAGUCCCACAGGAGUCG